CUCACUUCUCGGGCUUUUUGAGUAGGAUCAAGUGUAGUAUCUGUUCUUAGUUUCUCAUCUGAUACGUCUCAUAUCUGGGGACCUUAUAUUAGAUAGAUUUUUGGAGGACGGAGGCCGAAUCCUAAGCCUGCCACCGUCACCUUAUCUGCAUGACCGAUAGGGCAGUUUCAACAGGUUCAGCGCAUCCCAC